UACAGAGGUCCCAAGCGUUGUUCGGAUUCACUGGGCGUAAAGGGUGCGCAGGUGGGUUUGCAAGUUCGAUGUGAAAGCCCCGGGCUUAACCCGGGAAUGGCAUUGGAUACUGCAGAUCUGGAGGAUCGGAGGGGGGGACUGGAAUUCUUGGUGUAGCAGUGAAAUGCGUAGAUAUCAAGAGGAACACCAGUGGCGAAGGCGAGUCCCUGGACGAUACCUGACACUGAGGCACGAAAGCUAGGGGGAGCAAACAGG
rnacentral:rRNA from 1 species